rnacentral:rRNA from 1 species
UACAGAGGGUGCGAGCGUUAAUCGGAAUUACUGGGCGUAAAGCGCACGUAGGUGGCGACGUAAGUCGGGUGUGAAAGCCCCGGGCUCAACCUGGGAAUGGCAAUGGAUACUGGCAAGCUAGAGUGCGGUAGAGGGUAGUGGAAUUCCCGGUGUAGCGGUGAAAUGCGCAGAUAUCGGGAGGAACACCUAUGGCGAAGGCAGCUCGCUGGGACGUUACUGACGCUGAGACGCGAAAGCGUGGGGAGCAAACAGG